rnacentral:rRNA from 1 species
GCGGUAGCACAGAGAGCUUGCUCUCGGGUGACGAGCGGCGGACGGGUGAGUAAUGUCUGGGAAACUGCCUGAUGGAGGGGGAUAACUACUGGAAACGGUAGCUAAUACCGCAUAACGUCGCAAGACCAAAGAGGGGGACCUUCGGGCCUCUUGCCAUCAGAUGUGCCCAGAUGGGAUUAGCUAGUAGGUGGGGUAACGGCUCACCUAGGCGACGAUCCCUAGCUGGUCUGAGAGGAUGACCAGCCACACUGGAACUGAGACACGGUCCAGACUCCUACGGGAGGCAGCAGUGGGGAAUAUUGCACAAUGGGCGCAAGCCUGAUGCAGCCAUGCCGCGUGUAUGAAGAAGGCCUUCGGGUUGUAAAGUACUUUCAGCGGGGAGGAAGGCGAUAAGGUUAAUAACCUUGUCGAUUGACGUUACCCGCAGAAGAAGCACCGGCUAACUCCGUGCCAGCAGCCGCGGU